UACGUAGGGGGCGAGCGUUGUCCGGAGUUACUGGGCGUAAAGCGCACGCAGGCGGUCCGUUAAGUUUGGAGUGACAGUUGGUGGCUCAACCACCAAAGUGCUUUGAAAACUGGCAGACUUGAGGGCUUCAGAGGGACACGGAAUUCCGGGUGGAGUGGUGAAAUGCGUAGAGAUCCGGAGGAACACCGAAGGCGAAGGCAGUGUCCUGGGGAGUUCCUGACGCUGAGGCACGAAGGCCAGGGGAGCAAACGGG
rnacentral:rRNA from 1 species